CUAGCAUAUCAAUAAGCGGAGGAAAAGAAACCAACAGGGAUUGCCCUAGUAACGGCGAGUGAAGCGGCAACAGCUCAAAUUUGAAAUCUGGCUCUUUCAGAGUCCGAGUUGUAAUUUGCAGAGGGCGCUUUGGCUUUGGCAGCGGUCCAAGUUCCUUGGAACAGGACGUCACAGAGGGUGAGAAUCCCGUACGUGGUCGCUAGCUAUUGCCGUGUAAAGCCCCUUCGACGAGUCGAGUUGUUUGGGAAUGCAGCUCUAAAUGGGAGGUAAAUUUCUUCUAAAGCUAAAUAUUGGCCAGAGACCGAUAGCGCACAAGUAGAGUGAUCGAAAGAUGAAAAGCACUUUGGAAAGAGAGUCAAACAGCACGUGAAAUUGUUGAAAGGGAAGCGCUUGCAGCCAGACUUGCUUGCAGUUGCUCAUCCGGGCUUUUGCCCGGUGCACUCUUCUGUAGGCAGGCCAGCAUCAGUUUGGGCGGUGGGAUAAAGGUCUCUGUCACGUACCUCUCUUCGGGGAGGCCUUAUAGGGGAGACGACAUACCACCAGCCUAGACUGAGGUCCGCGCAUCUGCUAGGAUGCUGGCGUAAUGGCUGUAAGCGGCCCGUCUUGAAACACGGACCAAGGAGUCUAACAUCUAUG
rnacentral:rRNA from 1 species